CCAAGUGCUUGUGGAUAGUCAAUCUUUAAUGAGCCAGAGAGCAGAAAGGCUCCUCCUGAGAAGUGGAGGCUCGGGUUUGUGUUCCUUGUGCGCUACUUGCCAUAGCGGAAAUGUCAUCCCCUUUUCCAGCAGCCUGGUUUACCUGUUUGUGGUUUUGACACUAUUUAUUGUCAUGGCUUUUGGCUAUGUGGGACUCUCCAUGAUGUACCUUUACAGGAAGGUCCUCUACCUUGGCACCAAUGUCUUGCCACAGUGCAGCAGCCCAGACAGACACCUCUGCUGCCGUGGUACCCCAACUAUUUGCUACCAGCCAAGAGUCAGCAUGGAGAAAGACUUGGCCACUGUUCUUAUUCAGCAGCAUCUGGAGCCAACUGCAAAAUCUGCCUUUUUCUUCCACAGUUUUUGAGACACAUUAUGUGGGAAUCCAUAGACCAGCUUUCCACUUCUGAUGGUUUUCCAAAUGUGAUGGGACACAUCAGUAAACAGAGUAUGUUGAUUCCCAUUUUCUGGCAAUUUAUUUUACACUUUUUUUGUGUGAAUCACCUCCUUGGGCAGUAUCCAAAAUAUCUGCCUCCUACUCAGUCCAUUAUUGGACUUGGAAUUCUGGCUGGUUUGGUUUCCCUAGUCAGACCUAUCAUAAUGGUCAGUGCCAACAACUUUCCCCCUGUAGCACUGGUUACACUGGAAAAGCCAAAAGCAGACCCUGAGUCCUGAAACGGAGUACUCAAGCUUGGAGUUCAGAAAUAAAGGGAGCGGGUAAGGGAAUGAAAAAAAACA
rnacentral:lncRNA from 1 species